CCUACGGGAGGCAGCAGUGAGGAAUAUUGGACAAUGGGCGCAAGCCUGAUCCAGCCAUGCCGCGUGCAGGAUGACGGUCCUAUGGAUUGUAAACUGCUUUUAUACGAGAAGAAACACUACUUCGUGAAGUAGCUUGACGGUAUCGUAAGAAUAAGGAUCGGCUAACUCCGUGCCAGCAGCCGCGGUAAUACGGAGGAUCCAAGCGUUAUCCGGAAUCAUUGGGUUUAAAGGGUCCGUAGGCGGUUUAAUAAGUCAGUGGUGAAAGCCCAUCGCUCAACGGUGGAACGGCCAUUGAUACUGUUAGACUUGAAUUAUUAGGAAGUAACUAGAAUAUGUAGUGUAGCGGUGAAAUGCUUAGAGAUUACAUGGAAUACCAAUUGCGAAGGCAGGUUACUACUAAUAUAUUGACGCUGAUGGACGAAAGCGUGGGUAGCGAACAGGAUUAGAUACCCUGGUAGUCCACGCCGUAAACGAUAGGAUACUAGCUGUUGGAAGCAAUUUCAGUGGCUAAGCGAAAGUGAUAAGUAUCCGACCUGGGGAGUAACGUUCGCAAGAUGAAACUUCAAUUGAAUUGACGG
rnacentral:rRNA from 1 species